AGUGAAGGAUGGUUUCCAGGACUGGUCCCCUGCCCCACUCCUCACCUCCAACAAGACCACUGCAGCAUCCCCCACCCAGGCCCUGUCUGCAUCCUCUCCUUCCCUCUGGUCCCAGGAAUACCGAGUCAUGAGGGAGAUCCUGCUGCUCCAGGAGGCUGCAAAGAAUUACAACCUAGAGCCCGAGGGAGCGAUUUGGGGCCUCGUUCCAGGACAUGGAGUUGCUCAAAGAGAAUGAGAGCUACAGCUUGUCCUGCGAGCCAGAGCGCUAGACCUACUUGGCCUGCAGAGUACGCAAGGCCAAGAAGAACCGGCCAUCAUCAAGGUCAGGGGGAGACUGAGAUCUCAAAAUUAUCAAGAAGCUGAAGCUCCCCAACUCCCGCUUCCUGGCGCUGAAUCCACCAUUCAUCACAGGGACAGACAAACAGAGGACACCUGCAGCUCCCCUAACUCAGCUAAACGCAGGCUGAUGGGAGGACGCCGAACUGCAAAGCCGCAGCUCCCCUACCCCACCUAAAACCUUGUAAACUGUAAUGGUUAAUUGGCAAUAGUUGCCGUCCACACCCCAAGGCCAAAUUUCUGGUGAUGAGAGAAGAUUGGUUGAUGGAGCCCUAGAUCUCCCGCUGUAGAUAGAGAUGACAGCCGGCUUGGCGCCAGAAGACUGGGAUCCCUCCUCCAACAAAUAAUCAGUCACCAAGGAUAUAUUAUUUCCCACAGACUUUCCUUUAAAAGCCUCAACUCCUAAUGCCUCAGGAGGACUGUGGAUUUUGGGGCAUGUGCCCACUACAGCCUCAUUUUGCUGGCAAAAUUAAACCACUUUUCUUUUCCUCAGUCCCUGGUCAUUGCGUUCAUUGAUUCGGCUACGGUGACAGGGUCCUGGGUUUUUCUGGCUACAUUUCCUUGAUUUGUUCCUAAAU